CCAGGCCCCAAACAAGAAGAACGCUGUCUGUCUCCUCCUCUUUAACUUUAUUUCAUCAAUUAGCUCUUUAAAAAAAAGCGGCUAAGGAGAGAGAGUCCUAGUCAACUACAGAAACUUUUAAAGGGGUGGGCUUUCAAAAAGAGGGCUCUCUCAUUCUUCUUCUUCUUCAGAACUGAGGGAGGCAAGACUUCCAAUGAGCAGGCUAAACCUACAUACCCAGCUCCCUCACAUGGAAGAUGGAGCAAGCUUGUUCUCUCCUGCUCCAAAUGCUAGGACCUGAACUGAUGAAUUUAAGUUACAAGAAAGGAGAUUCCAGCUCAUCAUAAGGAAUAGCUUUCUGAAGGGCCUUUUAAUCAACACCUUCCUGGGACAGAAGGGCUGACUAGUCCCAAAGCCUUUGGCCAGAAGAGACCAAGCGAUUCACAAGGUUCAGGCUGUUCGAAGCCUUGUCCAUUUUUGUUUUGGCUUGGCGACUGUGUGCAAGACAAGAGUUGACUCUGCUCCUCCCAGAUAGGGUCAAAGGCAUUAUUCUUGCAGGACGCCUGCAGAAACCAGCCUUUUCCCGCGGCAUUCCAUCAGAUCUGCAAGUAAGGGCAGCUUCUGCGAUGACUUCACUUCUCUGCAUUGCAACACUGCACUGAACUGUGGCCAACUGCCGGAGUUUGCUCAUUUGUGUGUUUCCACUGGAGACCUGCUGAUUCAAUCAUUUUAAAGCUGCCCAUUUCUUCCACGUCAGAGAUUUUAUAGCUCUAAGGAUUAGCAGCUUUUAUCCCAACAAACCCCGAAGCUCUAUAUAUUCUGAUUUUUAUGUUGUGGAGCAACCCCACUGACUUCUAUGAGACUACUUGGAAGUGUGGUCCUUCAGAUGUUGGAACAUAGGAAGACGCCUUGUACUCAGUAGAUUCAUUGGUCCACUUGCUCAGCAAUGUCAACACUGGCUGGUAGUGGCUCUCUGAAAUUUCAAGACGAUCUCUCCCAGUUGAUGCUGGGGAUUGAACCUGUGACGUUCUGCAUGGAGAGCAGUUUGCAUUUCCACUGAGCAAUGGGCUUCCUCUUGCCUUCCUCAUCCCUAACCAUUGGGCAUGCUGGCUGGGGCUCAUGGGAGGUGGGGUUCAACAACAUCUGGAAGACCACAGGUUUCCUACCCCCAUCCCUGUUAAAUAACAUUGUACACAUCCCCCUUGUCCUCUGUUCUACAAAGAAACAAUUAUGCUGUUUCCGUAUUGGAACAGAUUUUGAAUGUCAGGCUCUUGUAGCCAAAUAGAAAUGUCAGGACCUCAACACGUCUCCCAUGUGUAGCGGCUAAUUUAAUCAGCAUUCCAAGAUGUGAUUUCGAUUCAAUCAUUUUGCUGGAGUGGCUGGGCUUAUGAGGAGUGUGUCCAGCAAAAAGGAGAUCAGUUAGAUAUUAUUAAGGGCCGCAUGUUUCUUACCGGAGAGAAAAAGGGGAGAGAGACGGGGGAUGGGGAAAGAACAUCUUGAAUGGGAUCUGCAGAGUUACGGAAGUUCAUCCUGGGCUUGCUGGAUGGGGAAGCUUAAUUCUGGACUAAGUUGUUUCCAUCAAACAUGGGGAAAAGGGGGGAAGGAAGCAUUUUGUAAUGCGAAAGUGGGAAGCAAGGGAUAGGUUCUUAACCUUCCCCUCCAUCCGCCAUGUGCCUCUGUAUUAUUUCCCCAGUCAUUUGCCCCCCAACUGCACCAGUGAGGUAUGAACAUUAGAAGAGCUCUGCUGGAUCAGGCCAAUGGACCAUUUAGACCAGCCUCAUGCUCUCACAGUGGCCAAACAGGUGACUGUGGGAAGCCCACAAGCGUU